AAAGGAGGCUUAAAAAUUGACUUUUGGAGAAAAACUCUUAAUUGUUUCCUCCUAUUGGCUGGAGACUCUCAUCAAGGUCCUGCCAGACUGAUGGAUGUCUAACUCCUGAGUCAUACACUAUCAGGCACUACUUCAGGAUCCAACUACCACCAGUUUCAAGGGGACAGCGGCUUCAAACUCUGCUACUCUGCUGCCUGAUGAUGCCCCUCAACAACUGUAUUGGGGACCAGACUUGAUAGAGGAGCCACCAUCCAAAGUUCCUUUGUAUUUCUCCUAUGGAGUCAAUUACAUCUAUCAAGUUAUUUCGCUGCUGCCACUGUGAGAACAAAUGCCCUGCUGUAAAGCCUGGACACCUGGACACCGGUCCUUAUCAAGUGACAACAACAUGAAUCUCUUGAGCCACAAUGGACUAUCAAGGUAGCUGAAAGCCUGCCUGGAUUCAUCAUUCCCACUGCAAGCAGAUCCUGGCUUCCAAAAACAAUCAGCCUGCAUAUAAGUAAACUGUCAUUUAUUCCAAGGACUCUUUAAAGCUUAAGAUUGCCAAAUGUAACUGGUAAUCUUGUGUUCUCCCUUGUAGAGACCCCGAAGAGGCCUCUGUCUGACUUAAAAAAAUGUUACUUAUAUGAUGGAACAGAGUAAAUUUAAAUGUUGGUUUUCUUUCUUCUUUUGGUUAACAGUUUUUUUUUUUUUUUUUUUUUUUGGUCUUUUUCAUUUUUAUCGGUACUAGGGAUCGAACUCACAACUGCCUGCUUGCAAGGCAGGUGCUUAUGUCACUGAGCUAAACCCCCAGCCCCUUGGUUAAUAGUUUUAAUAAUGACAGAUGAGAGACCUUUGUUAAUCCUCCUAUUGGGCCUUGUAUUGUAAAAAAGUUGAUGAACUAUGUCAAAGAUCUUAAGCUUAUGAUUUUAAAGGCACACACAAGGUUAUAAGCAGAUACCUAUGAGUCAAUGAUUUGACUCACUGACUAAAAUCAUUGGGGAAUGUUGUACUCUAGAAAAAUAGCUUCGUUAUAUUUGUAUCAUAGCAAUACCUGUAACUUGGCCUUACUGUAUAUGUGUUUUUCCCUUCCCCCUCUGGAUGGCCUAAUUGAUAUGUUAAUCAAUGCUCUCCUCUGUAAAGAAUUGUAAAAUCUUACCUAAUUUAUAUGUUAGCCAUUGCUGCCCUCUACAAAUAACAGAUGUGGUGCUAAACUAAGGUAACUAAAGUUGUUAAUUGCUGUUAGACUUCUCUAUUCUUUGCUGAAGAAAACAGGAUUUCUUCUUAUCUAAACUUGCUUGUAUGCAGGGAGACUUGCUUGUGAGCACAACCCUUACCUGAUCUUGCUCUUCCCAAGACAUGUAAUCGCAUUGUUUCUGUUUUGUAGUGUGCCACACCCCAUCCCCCUCCUUACAUUGUGUGACCAGCAGCUGUUUGUGGAUUUACAAGAUAAAAGCCCUGACUUUUAGCUGUCAGGUGCACAGUCUCCAAAUUGGCUCCUGGAGGCUGUGUCACCAGGCCUGGCCUAAAAUAAAGCCUUUGCUCCUCCAA